GAAUGAAGAAAGUAUUGAACAUGCACAAAAAUUGAUUUGGGUUUUUAGGCAUGCCCUUUCUGGUGUCUUUUUGGCUUUAAUUUUGAGGCAUGGUUUUGCAGCAAAAUG